GUAACGGCGAGUGAAGCGGCAACAGCUCAAAUUUGAAAGCUGGCUCCUUUGGAGUCCGCGUUGUAAUUUGUAGAGGAUGAUUCGGCAAGGGCUCCCGCCUAAGUCUCCUGGAACGGAGCGUCAUAGAGGGUGAGAAUCCCGUAUGCGGUGGGCUGCCUAAGCCAUGUGAAUCUCCUUCGACGAGUCGAGUUGUUUGGGAAUGCAGCUCUAAAUGGGAGGUAAAUUUCUUCUAAAGCUAAAUACCGGCCAGAGACCGAUAGCGCACAAGUAGAGUGAUCGAAAGAUGAAAAGCACUUUGGAAAGAGAGUUAAAAAGUACGUGAAAUUGUUGAAAGGGAAGCGCUUGCAGCCAGACUUGUCCGCAGUUGCUCAGCCGGUCUCCUGACCGGUGUACUCUUCUGCGGCCAGGCCAGCAUCAGUUCGGGCGGUCGGAUAAAGACCUCGGGAAUGUAGCUCCUCUCGGGGAGUGUUAUAGCCCGGGGUGGAAUGCGGCCAGCCUGGACUGAGGAUCUCGCUUCGGCUAGGAUGCUGGCGUAAUGGCUGUAAGCGGCCCGUCUUGAAACACGGACCAAGGAGUCUAACAUCUAUGCGAGUGUUUGGGUGUCAAACCCAUGCGCGUAAUGAAAGUGAACGGAGGUGGGAACCCUCACGGGUGCACCAUCGACCGAUCCUGAUGUCUUCGGAUGGAUUUGAGUAAGAGCAUAGCUGUUGGGACCCGAAAGAUGGUGAACUAUGCCUGAAUAGGGUGAAGCCAGAGGAAACUCUGGUGGAGGCUCGCAGCGGUUCUGACGUGCAAAUCGAUCGUC
rnacentral:rRNA from 1 species